UGGGUAACCUACCCUCGAGUGGGGAAUAACUAGCCGAAAGGUUAGCUAAUACCGCGUACGCUUCUUGGACUUCGGUUCAGGGAGGAAAGCGAUACCAAGGGUAUCGCGCUCUUGGAUGGGCUCAUGUCCUAUCAGCUUGUUGGUGAGGUAACGGCUCACCAAGGCUUCGACGGGUAGCUGGUCUGAGAGGACGAUCAGCCACACUGGCACUGCGACACGGGCCAG
rnacentral:rRNA from 1 species